rnacentral:rRNA from 1 species
CCCAUCCUACGGGAGGCAGCAGUGGGGAAUAUUGCACAAUGGGGGGAACCCUGAUGCAGCGACGCCGCGUGGGUGAGGAAGUAUUUCGGUAUGUAAAGCUCUAUCAGCAGGGAAGAAAUAGCGACCUUUGGGUCGCCAGACGGUACCUGACUAAGAAGCCCCGGCUAACUACGUGCCAGCAGCCGCGGUAAUACGUAGGGGGCAAGCGUUAUCCGGAUUUACUGGGUGUAAAGGGAGCGUAGACGGCAGCACAAGUCUGAAGUGAAAUGCCGGGGCUUAACCCCGGAACUGCUUUGGAAACUGUG